rnacentral:rRNA from 1 species
CCUACGGGUGGCAGCAGUGGGGAAUAUUGGACAAUGGGGGGAACCCUGAUCCAGCCAUGCCGCGUGUGUGAAGAAGGCCCUCGGGUUGUAAAGCACUUUCAGUGAGGAAGAACGCCUGGUGGUUAAUACCCAUCAGGAAAGACAUCACUCACAGAAGAAGCACCGGCUAACUCCGUGCCGGCAGCCGCGGUAAUACGGAGGGUGCGAGCGUUAAUCGGAAUUACUGGGCGUAAAGCGCGCGUAGGUGGCUUGAUAAGCCGGUUGUGAAAGCCCCGGGCUCAACCUGGGAACGGCAUCCGGAACUGUCAAGCUAGAGUGCAGGAGAGGAAGGUAGAAUUCCCGGUGUAGCGGUGAAAUGCGUAGAGAUCGGGAGGAAUACCAGUGGCGAAGGCGGCCUUCUGGACUGACACUGACACUGAGGUGCGAAAGCGUGGGUAGCAAACAGGAUUAGAUACCCCUGUAGUC